AGAGUUUGAUUAUGGCUCAGGAUGAACGCUGGCGGCGUGCCUAAUACAUGCAAGUCGAACGAGAGAGCUUGCUCUCUAGUGGCGAACGGGUGAGUAACACGUAGGUAACCUGCCUUACAGUUUGGGAUACCCUGGCGAAAGCUAGGCUAAUACCGAAUAAUUGGAUUGGAGGCAUCUCCGAUCUCUAAAAGGGGCCUUUAAAGCCUCGCUGAAUGAUGGACCUGCGGCGCAUUAGCUAGUUGGUGAGAUAAUAGCCCACCAAGGCGAGGAUGCGUAGCCGACCUGAGAGGGUGAACGGCCACACUGGAACUGAGACACGGUCCAGACUCCUACGGGAGGCAGCAGUAGGGAGUUUUCGGCAAUGGGGGCAACCCUGACCGAGCAACGCCGCGUGAAUGAUGAAGGUCUUCGGAUUGUAAAGUUCUGUUAUAAGGGAAAAAUGAUAGGGUGAGGAAAUGCUCUCUAUUUGAUGGUACCUUAUUAGAAAGCCACGGCUAACUACGUGCCAGCCGCCGC
rnacentral:rRNA from 1 species